CAUUACAUUUGAUGUUGAUGUGAAACUGGCAACACUCAAUUUAUGACAUAAAUUGAGUGUUGCCAGUUUCACAUCAACAUCAAAUAAAU
rnacentral:pre_miRNA from 1 species